GGCAUGCCGACGGUUCGAGCAGGAUGGACUAAAAUAAUCCACAUUAUUUGCUGUCAUCGUCCCCGAAGCUGGAUAUGAAAUCUACAGUUCAAAACAUGGAGCUGCUGCUUUGCCACCGUACGAGACACCAAUGCUAAUGCUGUUAGCACGGCUAGUAAACAGCUUGAAGGACUUCAGCGGUUCAGACUGAGGAGGGUUUCUCUGUCGCCUUGUUGUUUUGUUGUUUUUGGACGCACAGCUAUCAGUUUCUACUAUUUACGGAUUCCAACAGGACAAAUACAUAGGUCUAUCUCGGAAGUAAACAUCUCCCUGUGUCGCUAGCUUCCCAGUUAGCAGCUGUUAUUAGUGCCUCAGUAUUGAAGCAGCCUGUAAUUGUAACUGAAUGGGGUGGAGUUUCUUUUAGUUGUUUUGCCUUCCAGGCUCGCAGACUUUAGGUAUCUUUUCCCGGUUGAGGAAGGCGCUGUCAGUUAAAAUGGUGCUAAGGAGCUGCUGGAAGUCUCGACAUAAAAACACCUCUGGAUCUUCUCCUUGUUGGAUCCGACCGGGACUGGCCGCUCUGUUCUGGUUAUGCGUGACCCAGUUAGUGUGCGGCGGCGGGGCCGUGGGGGAGACCACCAACGUGGUCCAGAAAGACGCAGAGUUUGAUGUCACCUAUAAUGACACGGUCACAAGUGAAAACCAAACCAUCUAUGCUUUCAAUCACACGAUUUCCAGGAAUAAGACUGAGGGAGUCCGUGUGACUGUGGACGUGUUGUCACAGAAUCUGAAGAGUCCUAUCCUAUUUGUGGUGAGACAGCAGCAAGCAGUGCUGUCUUUUCAAGUCCCUUUAAUUCUCAGAGGCCUCUACCAGAGGAAAUACCCUUACAAUCAUGUGGGUCGAACGCUGUGCCAGCCUCCGACCCGGGCCAUCUCAGAAACCCAGCACUUUUUCAUCGACGUGUCCACCCUGUCCAGCCAGGGCACCAACUACCAGCUCCGAGUCAGCCGUGUUGAGAGCUUCACCCUGCAGACAGACAAGAAAUUCAGCUUCACCGCGUCACCCUCGCAACCCCAGUAUUUCAAGUACGUCUUUCCAGACGGGGUGGAUACUGUGAUCGUCAAAGUCAACUCGGCCAUGAACUUCCCCUGCUCGGUCAUGUCCAUCCAGGACAUCCAGUGUCCGGUUUAUGACCUUGACAACAACGUGGCCUUCAUUGGGAUGUACCAAACCAUGACCAAAAAAGGGGCCAUCACUGUGCAGAGAAAAGAUUUUCCCAGCAACAGUUUCUACGUGGUGGUGGUUGUAAAAACGGAGGACGAGGCGUGUGGAGGCCCGCUGCGCUUCUACCCGCUGCGCCCCGAUGAGCUCAUCGACGCAGGCAACCGCAGCAAGGUCGUCGACGUGGUCGUCUCUCCCGCCAUCAACUCGGAGGUGUAUGUGAUGGGCAUGCUGUUCUGUCUGGGCAUCUUCCUCUCCUUCUAUCUGCUGACCUUGAUGGUUGCCUGUCUCGAAAACAAGCGGAUGAAAAAGAGGAGAGAGGUGUUUGAGGAUCCUGCUGACACGUCGCCCGCUGAGACAGCCUCUCUGCUCGGGAAGAACGGAGAUGGCAAAACUCCAGCCUCUCCGUAUGAAUACGGCUCGUUUGCGGACAACGGCAGCACGUUGAGUUCAGAGGCCAUCACUGACAGCGCCACGUUCACCGACAACAACUAUGGAUACAUGGGACAGGAGCCUUUCAAACGUCGACCAAUCCUCAAUCAUCUUCACCACGUAGCCGUCCGCAUCGAGCGGUCCCUGGACAGCGUUGGGCGAAGCCGGCAAGAGUCUCUGAGCUCGGUGGAAGAGGACGACUACGACACUCUGGAUGACAUCAACUCGGACAAAAACAUCGUUCGCACCAAGAAAUUUCUGUGUGUGUCAGACCUGGCCCGCAAGGACAAGAGAGUCCUCAGCAAGAAAUACCAAAUCUACUUCUGGAACAUUGCUACGAUUGCUGUGUUCUACGCGCUGCCCGUCGUCCAGCUGGUCAUCACCUAUCAGACGGUCGUCAAUGUGACAGGAAAUCAGGACAUCUGUUACUACAACUUCCUGUGUGCCCACCCGCUCGGCGCUCUCAGCGCGUUCAACAACAUCCUCAGUAACCUCGGCUACGUGAUGCUCGGACUCCUCUUCCUCCUCAUCGUCCUCAAGAGAGACAUCGUCCACAAUCGGGCCAUGGUGCGCAACGAGCUCAACGCGCUGGAAUGCGGCAUCCCGAAGCACUUCGGUCUGUUUUAUGCGAUGGGGACGGCUCUGAUGAUGGAGGGCCUGCUCAGUGCCUGUUACCACGUGUGCCCAAACUACACCAACUUCCAGUUCGACACCUCCUUCAUGUACAUGAUUGCCGGUCUGUGUAUGUUGAAGCUGUAUCAGAAGAGACACCCGGACAUCAAUGCCAGCGCGUACACUGCCUACGCCUGCCUGGCUGCAGUUAUUUUCUUCUCUGUGCUGGGAGUGGUGUUCGGGAAAGACAACACCGUGUUCUGGAUCGUUUUCUCAGUGAUCCACAUCCUGGCCACGCUCCUCCUCAGCACGCAGCUCUACUACAUGGGCCGCUGGAGACUGGACGCCGGCGUCCUGCGCAGGAUGGUCUACAUCGUCUACACAGACUGCAUCCGGCAGUGCAGUGGACCCAUGUACAUCGACCGCAUGGUUCUGCUCGUGAUGGGAAACAUCGUCAACUGGUCUCUGGCGGCUUACGGCCUCAUCGAGAGACCCAACGACUUCGCCUCCUACCUGCUGGCCAUCGCCAUCUGCAACCUGCUGCUCUACUUUGCCUUUUACAUCAUAAUGAAGUUGCGGAGCGGCGAGAAAAUCAAGUGUCUGCCGCUGGUGUGUAUCCUCUUCACUGCUGUGGUUUGGGGCUUCGCGCUGUAUUUCUUCUUUCAAGGUCUCAGCACCUGGCAGAAAACUCCGGCUGAGUCCCGCGAGCACAACAGGGACUGCAUCCUGCUGUCGUUCUUUGACGACCACGAUAUCUGGCACUUUCUGUCCUCGAUCGCCAUGUUCGGAUCCUUCCUGGUCCUCCUGACCAUGGACGACGACCUCGACACGGUCCAGAGAGACAAGAUCUACGUCUUCUAGGUGUGCCAGACCUGCUGGGAGGAGCUCGGUCUCCUCUUCUCUGCCUUAUCGCCCUUCUCUCUCUCUCUCUCUCUCUCUCUCUCUCUCUCUCCGUUUUUCCUCUGUGGGUCUUUGAAUGGAAAAAAGAAAAGCACAGGCAGCAGCGACCCGUCUCCUCCCCGCUGCCUCAGUCAGCCGGCGGAGGGACGGUGGCGGCCUGCACGGACACUGGUGUGCCAAUGGAGAGCUGGGCAGAGCGAUGCUGAAGUGUUUCUGUCUUCUCGCUGCCAUCAUCGAUGUUUACUCACUGCUGAAGACGAAGAUAAUGUGCAAACAGUUCAAUUUAACUUAUUUUUUAAUGUGUGCAUCGACAUCGGACCUGUGAGCCAACGGUGUAUUUUGGGAAAUACUGUUUUUAUGCUGAGUGUGUGUGUGCGCGCCUGUAUUUGUACAGGUGUGU